GACGAACGCUUGCGACGUGCCUAAGAAAUGCAAGUCGAACGGGGGGAGCAAUCCCCUAGUGGCGAACGGUCGCGUAACACGUGGGCAACCUGCCCUGAAGCGGGGGACAACAAGCCGAAAGGUUUGCUAAUACCGCAUGCGGAUCGCCUCGGCAUCGAGGAUUAUCCAAAGCCGCAAGGCACUUCAGGAUGGGCCCGCGGCCUAUCAGCUUGUUGGUGGGGUAACGGCCUACCAAGGCGACGACGGGUAGCUGGUCUGAGAGGACGAUCAGCCGGAU
rnacentral:rRNA from 1 species